GCCCUUGUAGCUCAACCGGACAGAGCGACGCACUCCUAACGCGUAGGUUGUAGGUUCGAUUCCUGCCAAGGGCACCA
rnacentral:tRNA from 1 species